UUUCCGUAGGUGAACCUGCGGAAGGAUCAUUACAGUUAUAGUCCCCCUGCGCUCUGGGCUGGGGUCAUAUCUACCACCCUUUGUUUAUUCCACCUUGGUUGCUUUGGCAGGCCUGCUCGCGAGCGGCUGGCGCUGGCCAGCGCGCGUCUGACAGAGGACAUAAACUCUGUUUGUAUAUAAACUCUGAAUACUAUAUAAUAGUUAAAACUUUCAACAACGGAUCUCUUGGUUCUG
rnacentral:misc_RNA from 1 species